rnacentral:lncRNA from 12 species
AUGGGAAAUUGGUGGGGGAUUGGCGCCUCCGUAGUUGCUCAUGCUCCUCAGGAGGCAGAGGCCCCUCAGGAAGGCACCUGCUCUCCCCUGGAUUCUCCACUUAACACCUGGUUGCCUCGAGGAGGGCAGGAGCCCAUGCGAUGGGGAGGUGGCCGCAGAGGCACUCCAGUUCAGCGCCUGUGCCUGUGCGCAGGGAACAUGAUUUGUAGAUGUCGGUUGCCAGCUGGAUGGGGAAGGAAGGUGCUCGCAGGCCCCAGAAGCUGCGGGCGCGGGGUCGGGCCGAGGCGCCGGUGUGGUCCCCCGAUCCCGCCACGAGAUGGCGACAAUCCAGCUGGAAACGCCUGCCCGGGGUGGCCCUGCCCGUCUCCGAGCGGCGAAGGGCUUCCUCCCUCCGACACAAAGGAGGGGUCUUUCGGGCCAGAAGAGGCCUCUGGGGGGACCGGAGCGGGACCGGGAGCCUCUGCCGCGACUCGGUCCGCCCGGAGCGGGAGUGCGCCGCUUCCUUCUCAGCCCCCGCGGCGUGCGGCUUCGCGGGGCCGGAACGCUCGGGGGGAUGUUGUGCAAAAGCGCCCAGGAAAUUCCAGGUUCGACCUCGCCCUCCGCCCAGAGGCGGUCCAGCCGCUUCCCGGCCCGGCGACAUUCCCGGGAUUCCGGCAGGGGGAGCGGGUGCUUCCUGCCCUCCCCCCGCCCCCCCCCCGGCUCUCGGGUCCGGCCGGGCGGGGCGCACCCCGGGUCGAGGGCUGCGGGGGCUGCGGGGGCUGCGGGGGCUGCGGGGGCCCCGGCCCGGCCCCCGACCCGACCCGACCCGACCCGCGCGCAGAAGCAGGGGCGCGCUCCCCCCGCCCGCCGCUCCCCCCGCGGGGGCCGUCCGCGGGCCUUCCCGGCUCGGGGAGGGGGUUCUCUUUGUUUCCUUUUGUUUCGUUUCGGCCCAAAGGAGGAACCGCCGCACCCGCGCUUGUCUCAGGCUGGAGUAAACUUGCUUUGAAACGUCGGAGCUGUUAG